AGCCCUGAGGUGUUAACAUAUUUGAUUGCAAAUCUUAAGUAGCAGAUUGACGUCUGCCGGGGCUU
rnacentral:tRNA from 1 species